CGGCCGAUAUUCUCUGAGAUGGGAAGGAAAUCUAUAAAAGCCCUUUGACAUCCCCGGGGUGAGCUGGCAGCGUUGCCAUGUGCUGCCCAGCCCUCCUGAGGGGUAGCACAGGUACCCAUUUCUAAUCUGGAAUGUUCAUUGUCGGAUUGACUGUUUUCAGUGUAGUUUCAGGGGGUUUUUUGUAAAUGACACGCGAAGCCACCUGCUGUGUGUGAGCGACUGGGUUUGCCCUGUCUUCCCCCAAUAUCCCCCCAGCUCUGCUGCUGUUUCUUCAGGUGCCUUGGGGAGUCACCAUUUGGGAACACCAGACCUGUCUGGAGGUCACUUUCUGCUCCUGAAUGUUCCCGACCUUGGUUUCAGAAAGAACGGACUAAGAAGCCAGACUGAAAAACAUGAAAAAGGUUCUGAUGUUCAGAGGUGUUGGACAGCCAACAGGGAGGGAGGGCACCCUGAACUUUGACAGGCUAGCAAUGAAAUCGAAUUCACGGUGUUUUCCGAGCCAUUGUUGAGCCAGCCCAGGAGACACCAUUUCAAAGAGAUGUGGAUGGUAAACCUUGCUCUGCCAGUGACUCAGCCUCCGGCCUCAGCCAAGUCGCUUUACCACACCUUGAGAGGGAGAUAAUGCUUACCUACCUCAUCUUAUGAGGCUUCACUAAUGUUUAUAUAGUGCUUUGAAUGUUUAAAGAACUGAGUGCUGUUUAUGCAUUUUGGUGCUCCAGAUCCUAUGAUCUUUGGUCCUUUAAAAAUACAUAGGAGACUCAAGCGGUCCCAGAGGAAAUGCCCUUACAGGAGGCAUCCCAGAGCAGCAGAGCAGGGAGAAGGCCUUGUGCUGUGCACAGCUUGUGUGAACGUGGUGCUGCACCAGAAGCUGGAGUGCUGGAACCAGAACAGGUUGCUCUAGGAGCCUAUGCAAACCUCAUGCUGAGGAAGCUCCCUGCAUCUAGGCUGGAGGCGUUUCAGUCUGCUUUGGUAAAGCCAGCUCCUGCUCUUCUGCUCUGCCCUCUCACGCUCAAAUCCAGAGCUUAAUUUUGUGCCUUCUUCCAGAUAGUCCAAGCCAUAGGGGGUUUCUGGACCUUCUCUUUCUCCCAAAAGGAUAUUUUCUUGCCUUGGAUAGAGGAGAGUGCACCAUUUGUGAGUUCACUCAAAGGACACCUCUGUCCUUGGCAUCCAUGGAAAUCUGUGGAAGCAAGACUGCUAUUUACACCCUGUAAGAAGAGGCAUUUGUGCUGUGACACAGUGUUCUAGGUCGUCCACUCCUGCCAGUGAUGUGUACAGCAUGUGCAGCAUGACUGCAUGGGCUGUAUUUUAUAUAUAAUCCUCCAGAGACUACACUGGCAACUCUCACCUCCCUCUGACAAACACAAACUCACACCCACACCCACAGCUCCACAAUACCACGCAGCUAAAUAAUAACCUGACUGUCCAUACUGACUUGGUUCAAGAGUCUUUUCCAGCCAAACCAGUCAGGACCUGCUCCUGCACGGUGAGAUAUAAAAUCCCCAGAGAUCUCAUGGCUCUUCUGGUCCUGGGUCAGACACACAUGGCAGAUGGCCCCUUAGGGACUCUGAGCAAUAAGGGGGGACCUGUCUGAGGCAAACAGGGUUCUCUGAGGUACCAGAACCUGUAUGGUCUUUAGGCAGCAUGAACCAUCUCCUGCUUUCGACUUCUUUUUAAUGAGUGGCAGUGGUUUUACAGUGAAUGGGUAAACAUACCUUUCAUUUAAUUAUAUAAGCAUUUAGUAGGUUCUAUUUCUCACCCAUAUACCCUCAAUUAUGGAAGUAAGAAAGUUAACAUCCUGCCUCCUCCCUUCUCUAGGUAGAGUCUCAGAGAACAGGCUGAAGGCUUUGAAAGGUAGAAGAGUAGAGGCGCCCAAAAGUGGAAAUGGACAGGUGGCACUAGCCAAGGGAUGAGCAAUGUGUUCUUCCUCUGUGAAAGUAUGAAAGUUUCAUUGUUAAACAUGUCAGUUCUUCUAAUAAGAAGUCUAAAAUAAGGAGACCUGAAGGCUUUCCACACUUCCAGGCUGGUUCUGUGGGUACAAUUUCCUGUGCUUCAUCAGCUGCAAAAAGAAAAAUGUGUGAAGAGCAAUGGUUGUGCUGCAGAGAUGGUGUGUAAGCAGAUGUGUCCUGGGAGAUCCAUCCAUCCCUGCAUUGAGAUCCUGAUAGAAAGGAGAAGCUUCAACUCUGGCCCUAAAAAACAUCAGGAAAAGCACAUUGCAGACAACAAGGAGGUACUUCUGCAGCUGUAAAGUAUAAUCUUCUGAUGUGGGUUAUACUUUGUGACGACUUUCCACUGUCAGUUCAGGAGUCCCAGCAGUGUGUUGAGAUGAUAGCUGGAGAUCACAUAACCACAGAAUAGUCAGGGUUGGAAGGGACAUCUGGAGAUCAUCCAGUGCAACCCCCGUGCCAAGGCAAGGUCACCUGGAGCAGGUGACAGAGGAACAAUCCAGGUGGGUUUUGAAUGUCUCCAGACAGGGAGACCUCGCUGGGCAGCUGUUCCAGAGCUCUGCCACCUUCAAAAUAAAGAAGUUCUUCCCCACGUUGAGGUGAAACUUUUUGUGUUUUAGUUAAGGCCUUUGCUCCUGUUGCUGGGUACCACGAAAGAGAGUGUGGCACCAUCCCCUGGCACCCAGCUUUGAGACAUUGGUAUGGAUUAAUGAGAUCUCCUCUGAGUUUUCUCUAAAUAAACAGACCCAGCUUCCUCAGUCUACUCAUAAAAGAGGUGCUCCAGUCUUCUGAUGGGGCCUCUGCUGGCCCCUCUGCAGUAGCUCCUUGUCUGUCUUGUUCUGUGGAGUCCAGAACUGGACACAAAGAUGUGUGCAUGAGAGAUGAAUCCACUGAGUCCUCUUUUGCAAUCAGCUCUCCCUGUAGUAUUUCAAACUUCAGGAAAGCGUGGUCUCAUGGUUACUUUUCUAUCUCCUCACAAUCAAUUCUCCUUUCUCUAUCUCUUUUUUUUCUUACUUUAAAUUUGAAAUAAAGAUCCAAAUUAAAUGGCCAGUGAACAGAAUUCUGACAUGACCAAUUUUGAAUGCCACACUUCCCAGAUGCCUGACUCUAAAAACCUUAAGAGCUGACUUUCAUUAAAUGCCAGCACCUUUUGCUCUACCAUGAAGUUUCAGGCUCAAACCUGGAAGGUAACACUUGAAAACACUCACUUUUCCUGAACAUUUCAGCCAAGCAAUUCCUAUUUAAGAUUAGCUGCCAUGCAUUAAGUCUGCUUCAAUAACUUUAUAAUUGAUUGCAAUGCUUAAUUGUGAUAGCCAUCACAAACCUUGUAGCAACUUGAUUUUUCAAGUUCACCAACCAGCUGUUUUUUCCGAGUUGGCAGGAUUACAUGUCCUGUCCCAUAAAACCAUGAGAAAGGAAGUAAUUACUAAUUAUUUGACCAUCUAUCAAGAUCUCCUGGGCUUUUGCUGGUUCAAGCUAUUGAACAUGCAGAGUCAGAGUGUGACUUUGCACUGACGUAGUCUGGUAAUUUUUAGCUUCAUCUCGCAUUUCCGGUUUUCUGUCCUUGGAAUAUAGAACUUUCCAAACAACAUUGGUGAAUAGUGACAUAGUUGUGGGCAGAGAGCUUGGUCAAAGUGGUCCAAGUAAAUAAACUGACUUAUUUCACAUCACACUCUUGUCAGACGGAGAGAUAACAGGCCAAUUGUCUGUGCCCUGAAGCCCUGGAGCUCUACAGGAUUCAACAAAGAUCUUUGCUGGAUGCCUCAGGGGUGCUGGAUUCAUGUCAUCCCAAUCUGACCCUUCAGUGGGAAUAAGAAAUUCAGAUGGGCCACAGAAAGCAUUGGGUGCAUUGAAAUCCCAACUUUGCUGGGCCCUGGUCACAAAGAUGCACAGCAAAACAUACCCAGGAAGGAAGCCACUCCCCUUGGAAGAGCAAGUGUAAUUAUUCAUGCACAGACAGUGCUCAUCAGAGAAUCUCCCCAGCACAGCAGCUUCUUGCAUGACAGGAUUAAUUGACAGCUGUCUGUUCUAAUUGUGAUAACUUCAUAUCUCUCAGCGAUUGAUUGCCAUUAAGACUCCUUUUUUCUCACCUUGAAAUUCUUUUCUUUUUGCUGAAUUGCCAGGAUUGUCAUUUUCCUUCUGUGCUAAUAAUUAAUCAUUUCAUGUAGGAAUAAUCAGCUGGUGUAGACAAACAUAAUUAUCAUUCUCUUGCCCCUUUCUUAGCACCUUUUAUUGUGUGGAGUCUCAUCUACUUUCACUUUUAAGCCCUUAAAACCAGGAUUUGGGACUGUUGAACACCAAGCACAAGAGCCUAAUGGGAUCUGCAACAGUGGCACUAGAGGAGAAGCACAUUAAUUAUGCACAUAAACAUGUAAUAAUGAGGCUUAUCUGUACGCAGAAGUGCUGCUGAGGAUACUUAGCAGGCAGCUUUGGCCGGGCAAUAUCUCCCCUGGCCACCAUUCUUCUGAUCCCAUGUGGAAGCUGAGGAGAUGUGAAGGAAUACUGUGGCUUGAGAGAGUGGUUGUUUAUUGCUCUGGUAUUUACUGCUGCUGCGAGACAGGGAAUGGUAUCUCAGCCUUUUCCUGCCUCGUUGUGCAACGUGCCACGCAUCAGGUCGCGCAACGCCGAGGCCUGGCAGGGCCUGCGUACGGAGGAGGCUGCGGAGCAGGGCUGCAGGAUGUUGUUGGUUGGCACCUUCCCAUGGAUUCCCUGUGAUGUGCAGCAUCCUGGAGUGGGAGGGAGGUGCUGGUGUGAAGCUCAAAACGCCAGUGGGAGUGCGCGAGAUAUGCACCGGCUGAGCGUGUCCCGACAGGAGAGCCCUGGCAGGGCAGGCUGAGGGGGAAAGGGGCACAGCCUUGGCCCUGCCAGCCUGUGAGGAGCGUGGGCCCCACUUGUGACAACCUCCUGGUAUAUCAGUGGCAGAUUUGGACAUCUAGGACCAAGUCUUUUGACCCUGAGAUUUGAAUCAACCCUUCCCAAAUGGAGCCACGUUAAGCAGUGCUGUUUAGUGUGGUUCACACUAGACAUUUUGCUGCUGUGAUUCAGAAUUCUUGUCUGAGCUACACUUUUGAGACACAGGCUUCUGCCUCUUCCCAUUCAGCUGAUCACAGGUAAACAAAUGUAUGUAUAAUGAAGUCUCUAAAGUAAUUUUCAGAUAGACACUUUGCAAAAUAAUAAAUCUGGUAGUACGAGAUUUUAUUCUGACUCAUGGACUAUCUAAGAUGGCAACAUUUGAGUCCCACAGAUUCAUUUGUAUGGGACUUUACAUAUCUUAUAAGCAUUCUACAUUAGUAGCUUUUCUAAAAGAGUCACUAAAAUUAAAGUGCUGCUAGAAACAUGCAAUCAAACACCACCGUGUCAUAAAACAUUGUUAAAGAACUGUGGGAAGACUAGUCUUACUAGUCUAGAAGAUGAUUAUACUGCUGAUAGAGUCCACUUGGGAGACACAAACAUAUCAGCUGUGCUUCUGAUAAUACAUGCUGCACACAUUUGAGCAGUUCUUUAUAAAUUUCUUGUUUUCACCCACCAUGCAAUUACUUCAGGUUUAUCUCAGUGAUCUAACAAAUUGCAUUGCUGGGAACUAAAAGGAUUUUGUUUCUUAACUGCUGUAAUAGGUGCUAUGGAGGGAUGAGCAGUGGUGCCUGGAGAAGGGAAUUACCCUGUGGAUGCAUUUGAUCACUCUUUGGGUCCCUCAGUGCUUUGUGUAAGUGGAGCUGGGCUCACUUUGUCUUCUGUGCACCAGGGAUGCAUUUCCAUCCCUACUCAUCUCACUACUUGAACAAGACUUAAAAAUGGAGGAAUCUUCCAACUAGAUCACAAUCCUUUUGGAAGAAUUCCAGUUGAUCACGCUGUUCAGCAGACUGCAAAUAAAGGAACUCUGAUUCAAGGAGGGGUUUUAAUUCCAGAUGAGAGAUUUAUUUUCACUCACUGCUGAACAGCAAAAUCCCUGUAGGAGGUAACUGAGACAUGCUAUAGUAUAGUAAUUCUAAGUUAAGGUGUGCAAAACUGGAGAUAUUUGGCUAUUUAAGUAGAAAGAUACUGAAGCCUUGCUGGACAUGAUUAAUUCAGCAAGUUCUGAUCAGACACAGUCAGUCUGUCCGGGGGUCAGGCAACCUUGUCAGAUGUCAACAGUUUACUAUGUCAACAUUCAGUAGGAGAGCAAGCACAUGCUGAUUUUUCAAACAAUUAAGAGUGCCCUUCCAUGACAAAAGUUUUAUAAGAGACUCUCCAAAAAGAAACUUCAUCUUUUCAGCCAUCAAUAGAAAAGAAAGUGAUUGCAUUCAGGAAAGAAAAGCUGUAGCUCAAAUCAGACAGGAACUUGGAGAUGUUAGUUGUGCAAAUCUCUGCUUUCUGCAGUGUUAAGAGAAGUGCUGACAUAGGCCAAGUAGUCCCUAUCCCUUGGCAGUCUUAGCUGGAUCAUUAGGAAAAAGAAACAAAGUGGAAGCUGGGUGUUGUCUUUCAAGUGAAGAAAGCUGUAGAAUUGAUGUAAUGUUUGACUUUUAGAGGAGGCAUUCAUAGUGUCUCCUCUGUGGAGAGGCAGCAGAGCUUCCAGCACCAGCAUUCAUUCCCAGAACGUCACUGCAACUUAAAACAUUCAACACUGGAAAUGAAUCCAACAUUUGUGCAGCAGUUACAAGUGUCACAUUAUUGAUUGUGCCUUUAUGAUGUUCUAUAGUUCCCGGUGGAACAUUGUACAACAGGAUGGUCCAGACCCUCAGGAGCCUCUCUGACACUCACACAGGUGCAGGCUGGGAGCUUGUGCACUUUCCUGCUGUGGCACUGGACCCAGUGGUGAUUCUGCAGGGCAAGGAAAACUACAGCCUGACCCCUUGCAUUAUUACAGAGGCUGGAAAAGAAUGGGAGCCGCUGCCAUUUCCUAGCAGAAACUAAAAUGCCACUUUAUAUUCCAGUAAAAACUGAUAGUAAAUAAUAUCACAAGCUUUUCUGCACCAAAAAAAAAAUUUAAAAAAAUUAAAAACCCAACCCAAAAGUAACUUUAUCCAGCUUCCACCAUGCCAUUCCAAUGUGUACUGUGUCUACAAUACCAAGCACAGGUCUGCAGCUGAUCCCCACAGUGCCAGAUCUCCCAAACUGCAGCAGGAUGUAGCUACAGAAGGGUACCUGGACAUCAUGGGUGUCUGGAGCUAAGGUGUGCUUGAGCAGUUAUGAAAUGGACCCACAAUUAGUCCUGGCAAUGGAAUGAGUGUAUUUACAAUACCCAUAGCCCUGUAUGGCUGCUUAAUCUGCAAACCUUUACUGAGCUGGAUAAAAAAAAGAGUUUAUUGGAUCUUUUCAGGAUUGAUCUGAAGGAGAAAAAUUAGGAUGUUUAAAAAAACUAAGCUGCCUCUGGGAUGUCUAGCAUACUUCAACUAAUGAAAGACACUGUCUGCUGCUUACAGUAACUGAAACAAAUAGGAUCAAUUUUAUUCCUUACUAAUAUUUAGAUUUCACUUUUGAGCAAUAACUAUGCAAAACCUAAGGGUUACUACACACAAAUAGAUUCAUCAUAAGACUGGGAGUUAUCACAGAGAGUAUAAUUAUGAUUAUUAAAUCCAGCAUGAAGCAAAGGGUGUAGUAGACGAACAAGACAACACAGGAUCUCCAAAGUGUUACUGAAGUUCAUCUCCAACAUUGAGUCAAGAGCUGAAGUUUCUGGCCUUGGUUGGGUGAUUCUUGCCACAGCACCCUAUACAUUUAACUUAUGUCAAGUUUCUCUUAACACUUAUAUACUGUUAACAAUUCCUGAAUGAAAUUCUGAUAUAUAUAUAAAAGAGAUCCAGCUCUUUCUCAGAUAAACAUUAAAUUUGCAUUCAUAUAACUGCCAUUAAAACACACUGGUUUAUUUAUAAGGCAAAUCACAAAUUUUCUAGAAAGUUGCAGGAAUGCUCUUAGAUAAGAUGAUAUAUUAAUAGGAUAUAUAUUUCUGGAAAGAUUUGUCAAAAAGUAGCUAAUACUGCUUUACUCUUAAUUUCAACAUGACCCAAAGCAUUUAAUUUUAGCUUUAUGACCUUCUAACUAAAAGUCUUCUUACUGGAUCACAUCUCAAAAUGUUGUACUUUGUGUCUUUACCUGGCUUAUAUACAAGACCAAAAUGGUUGGCUGUUUUCCUCCAUCUCUUCAGUUUUACUGUUGAGACCUAUUAUUUCAGUAGUUGACACCAGAAUACAAUUUUUUGUUCAAAAGUAUUUUUUGUACCACAGAUGGAUAUUUUAGAAAUAUAAGAUGUUAUUGUGUAGAAAGUUUUCUGUAGAUCAGAUGAGCCUUUAUUGAAAAAUAUGAAGAAAAUAUUGAUGCUUCUCUGUCUGUGCUGCAGUCAGUCAUUUUGGUACAGAAAUGAAGAAUGGGUGCUGUUGUGAGCAAAUGAUGGCAUCUGAGAAUAAUUAAAAAAUAGAAAAUAUUCUAAUGCCAAGAAAGUCACUUGUGGAGAAGUUUACCAAGGGAUUUCCUGGUUCAGUAGAUCAACACUUAGACUAUUGAAGAGGCAAGAUAAUAGUUCUGAACACCAUAGGAAGAAGAGUCUGUGCAUGAUUUUACUCCUGAUCGUAAAAAAUUUCACAAACAAUACUUUGCUACAUACAUAAUCUACUUUUUGUAUUUACAGAUAAGACGUCAAAAAAUUACAAAUUUGAUGCCUGAUUUUUGAUGUCAGAUCUCAUUUAGUUCUGUAUUAAUUUUAUUCAAUCUAAAGCAUGUUCAUUGCUAUGUAAUAUCAAUUAUUUAAUAAUGAGACAGCUUAGUUGUGAUUUUUGUGACCAUAGUGAAGAUGUGCAGUACUCUUCACAUUAAUAAAGUAUUUUUAUGGUUUUGUUUUUAACUGUAGUGUGUACAGCAUUUUCUCAGACUGCAUGCACAGUUCCCUUGUUUUGGUGUGAUCUGACAUGCAGUAUACCUUGGGAAUCUUUUAAUACUAGCAGGCUCAGCAAGUAGUCAUUUCUCCAUGAUAAGAAUAGCUGUGGGAAGGUUGAACAGUAUAAAAAGGAAAAAGAAAAUACUAUCUGCACUUCAAAGAUUCCCUUCAGAUGCAGCAGAUAGAAAAUCCACACAGAUUACUGCAGAAGCUGUAGGUGAAAUUAAAAGUUGCCAUCUCCAAUAUAUGCAUUUGCCUGAAGUA